rnacentral:rRNA from 1 species
UACAGAGGGUGCAAGCGUUGUUCGGAAUUACUGGGCGUAAAGCGCGUGUAGGUGGCGAUGUAAGUCGGGUGUGAAAGCCCUUGGCUUAACCAAGGAAGUGCACUCGAUACUGUGUCGCUUGAGUACCGGAGGGGAUGGCGGAAUUCCCGGUGUAGAGGUGAAAUUCGUAGAUAUCGGGAGGAACACCUGUGGCGAAGGCGGCCAUCUGGACGGUCACUGACACUGAGACGCGAAAGCGUGGGUAGCAAACAGG